rnacentral:rRNA from 1 species
UUACAUUGCUUAGAGACACUAGACCUAAGGAAGACAAAGAUAGAGAUAUAGCCACUGGAGGUCAUUGGGUUGCCUCACCUAGAUCACUUGUUUGGAAAGUUAAUGCUUGGGAAG